AAGUGGAAACCCUUCGUCGUCGUCCCCGUCCUCGUCCUCGUCCUCGUCCUCACUUCGCAUCCAAUUAAUGGCGCGGGAUCCACAUCCGAUCCCUCGCCCCUGGUUCCUCGACGUCGUCCCCCUCCUCGUCGUCGUCCUCAUCGCCGCUCACGUCCUCGCCUUGGCGUACUGGAUUUACCGAUUGGCCACCGAUCGGCAGACGCAGUCGCAGCAGCCCCAGCGGAGCAAGGCGCACUAGAGCCGCUUCCUUCGAUCCAAAUUUGUAAUCGUCGUCUGUGCAUCAUUUGCUUGCGGAAGUCAGUCCAGGGAGAAGAACAAGUGAGAAAAGGUUCGACCAACGGGGGUUAGUGAAGUUUUGUACAAGUGUGCGCUAAUUUGCUGAAUCUGUGAUGCAGUUCCUUUUGAAUAACAGAAAAGAGACAGAAUUUCUUUGCGUGGAGUCCCAUGAAGAAGGGGUGGGGCAUUUAAGUAUGCUAAGAAAUGGGUAACAGGAGUUGCUUUGUGUGGUGUAAAAUGACUUCAUAUAGAUCUCCGACCCUGCUCUACCUCCUUGGCAUUGAACCCUUUUUCUACUUCCGGGAGAUCUAAAGAUUUGUUAUUGUGAGAUUAUCGAAAUUUCCAACAGCCUCGGUUGUAAAGACUCAAAUGUUUUCUAUUGACCGCACGAAGAUGACUAUUUGCGGUUACUUUCGAGUUUUCACCAUUAACCACACAACCAUGUAUGAAAUAGCAGUUAGGACAGGAGAAAGAGAAUGGAUCUCCCUUACGCCUACAUGCAAAAUCCUGAUUAUGAUAGUGUGUUUCAUUGUUUAGCAUCCUUUCCAUUCGCAACCAAAUUUCAAAGUAUUGUUUCUGUUUUUGUCACCACUGUUUUGUCAUACAACUUCUGAUUCACAUUGUUAGGUUAUUUCGAAUUCUAUAUUUGAGAGUAUUUCUUCAUUUGUUCAUUCA